rnacentral:rRNA from 1 species
UACGUAGGGGGCUAGCGUUGUCCGGAUUUAUUGGGCGUAAAGAGCGUGUAGGCGGCCAGGUAGGUCUGCUGUGAAAACUCGAGGCUCAACCUCGAGACGUCGGCGGAAACCAUCUGGCUAGAGUCCGGAAGAGGAGAGUGGAAUUCCCGGUGUAGCGGUGAAAUGCGUAGAGAUCGGGAGGAACAUCCGUGGCGAAGGCGGCCAUCUGGAUCAACACUGACGCUGAGGCACGAAAGCGUGGGGAGCAAACAGG